rnacentral:tRNA from 1 species
GGGGUUGUGGCUCAGAGGUAUAGCACUCGCCUACCAUGCGAGAGGCACCACGUUUAAUCCUCAGCACCA